CCCACUGAGGCUCUCCCAGAGCUGAGUGCUUGUCUCUGUGAGCACUUUGCCCUCCGCACAGGGACUCCCAUGGGGCUGCUCUUACCCCCGUUGCUCAGUGGCAGAAGAGGUGGGGGAUCUGGAGUGACGUUUUUAGACUGUGAUCCCCAAUCAUGUGGAAGGACAUAUAUCCUAAGGAACAAUCUGUAAUAACCAAAACCUGGAAGCAACCAAUGUGUCCAACAACAGAUGAGAAAGUUGUGGUCUAUAUAUACAAUGGAAUACUACUCAGCUAAUAAAAAUGAUGAAUUCA